rnacentral:rRNA from 1 species
UACGUAGGGGGCUAGCGUUGUCCGGAUUUAUUGGGCGUAAAGAGCGUGUAGGCGGCCAGGUAGGUCUGCUGUGAAAACUCGAGGCUCAACCUCGAGACGUCGGCGGAAACCAUCUGGCUAGAGUCCGGAAAGAGGAGAGUGGAAUUCCUGGUGUAGCGGUGAAAUGCGCAGAUAUCAGGAAGAACACCAAUAGCGAAGGCAGCUCGCUGGGACGGUACUGACGCUGAGGAGCGAAAGCGUGGGGAGCGAACAGG